AUUUGGCCAAACCACAGUACCCUUUCCAGAGGAUCCAAAUUGAUCAUAUCUAAAUGCCAAAGAGUGGCCGGUAUGAAUAUGCACUGGUCAUAGUGGAUAUGUUUUCAAAAUGGCCAGAAGCUUUUCCGGUCGCUAAUCUCACUGCAAAGACCACAGCAAAGCACCUACUUACCGAAAUCAUCUGCAGAUACGGAGUUCCUGAAGUAAUCGAAAGUGACCAGGGUACAUCCUUCACCGCACUGCUAACCAAGGAGAUCUGGGCAGCACUGGGGGUGACCCUUGCAUUCCACACAUCCUGUCACCCACAGAGUAGUGGUAAAGUAGAAUGCAUGAAUGGCACUCUGAAAGCCAGAAUGCUUAAAAUGUCCCAAGAAACUAACCUACCCUGGCCGGAGAGUCUUCCCAUAGCAUUGUUUAGUGUAAGGUACACCCCAAGAGGGAGGUUUAGCUUAUCCCCCUACGAAAUCUUAUUUGGAGCAGCACCCAGGUUAGGCUGUUAUUUUCCUCAGCAACUUCAAAUUCAGUCAGAUGCAAUGGUAGAUUAUAUAACUGCACUCUAUCAUGCCUUGACCAAAUUCCAUGCACAGGUGUUUUCUUCUAUUCCAGAUCCAGAGUCAAAUACAGGCACACAUAAGCUACUUCCUGGUGACUGGGUCAUGGUCAAGAAGUUCAUAAGAAAACACACUCUUGAGCCAAGGUUUGAUGGUCCAUUCCAAGUCCUAUUGACUACAUCUACCUGUGUAAAGUUGGCCGGGAAGAAUACCUGGAUACACGCCUCGCACUUCAAGAAAGUUCCUGAUACAGAGGAAGCAGAUUCCGCGGAAAACAGGCCUAUUUCUGCUGCUAGGCUUAUCGAAGGCCCAACAAGUUGCUAUUACCAAAGACAAUCAUGUUUACACAUUCUGGUAUAAUUCUUCAAACACACACGUACCUACUUUCACCUUUGAUUACUGUGAUAUUGUCUCUUGUACUUUUCCACAAUCACAACACUCAGCAAUAUACAAAGACAUACCAAACAAAAAGGACCCAUAUAUUUGUGUGACAAGUGACCAUUGGGGACAUCACUGUAGUACCUGGAAAGCAGCGGGUUGGAAUACGAGACGACUAUGGGGCUACAGACCACAAAGUGCCUUAGAUAGGAUUGACAGAUAUGGGAAACCUUUGUUAUACAGAAUGACCUUAUGCAAGCCAACAGGGUCUACCCCAAUGAAGCUCACCUUAAACAUAGAACAUCCCAGCCCAGGAGACGCUGGGGAAUACGUAAUGGGAAUAUAUUGGAAAGGGGGUGGCUCAUAUAACAAGCUGGGGACCUUCUAUUUACAAGACAUGCUUACGUCACCUGACUGGGUAGACUCCACACACAUGACCAUUAACCCUCUAAAACCACACAUUAAAACCCUUAAAUACAUGGUAGCCAUUGCCAAUCCCACAUUUGAAGACACUAUGGCUGUGGAGACCGGGUUUUCAGAUACUAAUCUAUGGCUUGAAUGGUUAGAACAUUAUAAACAUGCAUAAAGUAGAAAUAAAAAGAUAAAAGUACGUACAUUUAUUUAUUUUUUUAAAACACCCUCCUUUCUAAAAAAUAUUCAGCACUUGCGCGAAAACUGGUGGGCGGUAAGGAAAUGUUUCCAUCAAGAAAGAUGCAUUAGUGGGCGGUAAAUGGAAAAAGGUUGACUACCACUGCUGUAGACCAUUCUGCUGCCAUCUCCAUGCAGCCUUUGGAUGACUGUUUAAGUGCUGACUCAUUCAAGUUAACUCCUGAAGCUGAGGAAGCAGUUAAAGCGUUUGGUUAUAUCUGUCCCCUCAUUAGGUCUCCUUAACUAAAACAAGCCUUUUUCCAUGUUCUGUGCAGAACAAGCAGUGUCCGCCACCACUGUGGUCACACAAGAUCACGAACAGAAAGAAAGACCCAUUGCUUACUACUCGGCCCGGCUGGACCCCGUAGCAAGAGCGGCAUCCUCAUGGGUUAGGGCUGUGGCGGCUGUCACUGCCCUUUUAGACAAUCACCACCAGGUAUGGUUCAGAGGUUCCUGAUCAAUAAUCGAGUACUCGGGAGACAAUAAACCACAGACACACUUAUAUGUAGCUUGUAAUAUUGUUUUUGCUUUAAUGGGAGAGCACAGGUUGUAUAUAUUAUUCAAGACAAAAAGGAAGUUGCUGAUUACAACAGUAUUUUUAGUCAUGAGUGGUUAGACGUUGCUGAUUCUAUCACAAGAUAUAACGUCCUUAUUUUUUGUAGCUUUUGUUGCAGUAAGCAGUUUCUUCAUGAUUUGUACAAAAAUGUAUAUGGGAUUUGACACGUAGGCAUACAAAUACAUUAAUGACUAUAUCAGAUCAGUAUAAAAUCAAUUUAUUAAGAUAAGUUCCUUCACAAUCCACACGGUGCCUUGCACAUGCCUCUCAAUGCCAUCUACAUUGCUUCUGAUUGAUUUCAAAGAGGGGGGUAAUGUAGGUAGUACAGACUUAUUUAAAAAGUCUCACUCCAUGAGGAAUUAACAGAUGCCCAGGUACCUCGUGACUGUGCUGCCUUGAUGGCACAAGAAACUGCAUGUUUUUCCUAUGUUGUUGAUAUGCCAUUAUCUAAUCCAGAUUUUGAGUAUUUUGUAGAUGGGUCUUGGUUUGUUGAUUAGAAGGGUAACUUCCAUACUGGAUAUGCUGUGGUCUCUGCAGACAAGGUAAUUAAAGCAGAACCACUCGCUCCUCUCUACUCUGCACAGGAAGCUGAGUUGAAGGCUCUCAAUGAAGCGUGUAAAUUGGCCUCUGGUAAGACUGUUAAUGUUUAUAGCGAUUCCCGCUACGCCUCUGGCAUUGCACACGAUUUUGGGCCCAUUUGGAGGGCCAGAGACUUUCUCACUUCUGCAGGUUCACCUAUCAAGAAUUCAGAAGCCGUGAGUGCCCUAAUGGAUGCUAUCCUGUUACCUAAGCAAGUGGGAAUUGUCAAAGUGGCAGCUCAUGUGAAGAUAACGGACAAUGUUUCUCGUGGAAACGACAGAGCUGAUGAAGCAGCUAAACAUGCCGGUAAAAAACCCAUACCUUUCAGGUAUAAUUUAUUUACAAACUCUGACUGUGACACAACCUGUAUUAUAUAACAAACUGCAAAGCCUCCAGAUGCAGGCCAGCAAGGAAGAACAGAACUAAUAGAAGUUGGGAGCAGUGUACACAACCAAUAUGUGGGAAAAAGGUGAGAAACUGUGUUUUCCUAAGACUUUAUACCCAAUGAUGGCCCAGGUGGCCCAUGGACACACACAUGAAUCAAAAAUGAAUAUGAUUAGCUUGGUAAAUGCACAUUGGAUUGCUCCAGGUUUUACUGUAGCUGCUACAGAACAUACCCAGCGCUGCAUGAUUUGUGCAAAAAACAAUGUGGGUCAAGUAACUAAGACCCUGUCUAAACAAGGCCAAUUUACCCGUUUCAGGGAUCGCAGAUAGACUAUAUUCAACUGCCUAAUAUAGGAGUGUAUGAAUAUGUGUUAGUGUGCAUUGAUCUCUUUUCAGGUUGGCCUGAAGCAUACCCAGUAUCGAAGGCCACAGCAAAGGCAGCAGCAAGUAAGCUACUGAAGGAAUUGGUAUGUAGAUACGGGGUACCUGAAGUAAUUGAAAGUGACAGAGGUAGCAAUUUUACUGGUGAAAUUAUGCAAGCCCUAGGAAAAGGGAUGUACCAAAAUUUCUGCUGCCGGAAUAUUUGGCCAAAAAUGGCCUAUCCUGUUUCAGCCGAAAACGCGUC